GAAAGGAAAUAUUCGGUAAAAGAUGGGCCCGCAUCUGAUUAGCUAGUUGGUGAGAUAACAGCCCACCAAGGCGACGAUCAGUAGCCGACCUGAGAGGGUGACCGGCCACAUUGGGACUGAGACACGGCCCAAACUCCUACGGGAGGCAGCAGUGGGGAAUAUUGCACAAUGGGGGGAACCCUGAUGCAGCAACGCCGCGUGAAGGAAGACGGUUUUCGGAUUGUAAACUUCUAUCAAUAGGGAAGAAAGAAAUGACGGUACCUAAAUAAGAAGCCCCGGCUAACUACGUGCCAGCAGCCGCGGUAAUACGUAGGGGGCAAGCGUUAUCCGGAAUUACUGGGUGUAAAGGGAGAGUAGGCGGCAAGGUAAGCGAUAUGUGAAAGCCUUAGGCUUAACCUGAGGAUUGCAUAACGAACUAUCUAGCUAGAGUACAGGAGAGGAAAGCGGAAUUCCUAGUGUAGCGGUGAAAUGCGUAGAUAUUAGGAAGAACACCAGUGGCGAAGGCGGCUUUCUGGACUGAAACUGACGCUGAGGCUCGAAAGCGUGGGGAGCGAACAGGAUUAGAUACCCUGGUAGUCCACGC
rnacentral:rRNA from 1 species